rnacentral:misc_RNA from 1 species
UAUCCGUAGGUGAACCUGCGGAAGGAUCAUUAAAGUUAUAGUCCCCCGGCCCUCUGGGCUGGGGUCUUCUAUACCACCUUUUGUUUAUUACACCUUUGUUGCUUUGGCAGGCCUGCCCUCGGGCUGCUGGCUCCGGCCGGCUCGCGUCUGCCAGAGGACCUAAACUCUGUUUGUAUAUGAAGUCUGAGUACUAUAUAAUAGUUAAAACUUUCAACAACGGAUCUCUUGGUUCUG